rnacentral:rRNA from 1 species
GUUUGGUUAAGUUAGAAAGGGCGCACGGUGGAUGCCUUGACACUAGGAGUCGAUGAAGGACGGGACUAACGCCGAUAUGCUUCGGGGAGCUGUAAGUAAGCUUUGAUCCGAAGAUUUCCGAAUGGGGAAACCCACCAUACGUAAUGGUAUGGUAUCCUUAUCUGAAUACAUAGGGUAAGGAAGACAGACCCAGGGAACUGAAACAUCUAAGUACCUGGAGGAAGAGAAAGCAAAUGCGAUUUCCUGAGUAGCGGCGAGCGAAACGGAACAUAGCCCAAACCAAGAGGCUUGCCUCUUGGGGUUGUAGGACAUUCUAUACGGAGUUACAAAGGAA